GAUGAUCACAUGACUUUUUGUGUUGCUCAGUUUUGUUUUGUUUGUUUGUUUGUUUUUCAUCUAAAAUUAGAGAACUCAAAGACCAACUAGAAGGGGAUUAAUACCCUCAUUUCGUACCUCUGGGAUCUACUUAUGGAUAUAGCCCAAACAAGAGACAGAAAAUCUGGUUCCUGUAUACCUUCCAUUAAAUGAUGCCCAUCUGUGAUCACCACAUGGUGAUGGUGCUGGAAGGUUUUAGAUUCUACAGUCUCUAAGUGAAAACUAUGGAAUGCUUCAAUACUGCUCCAAGAAGGUUGGAACUACUAGAUGUUUUUAUAAUGCAGUUCACAGGGAUUUUGUGACUUACCAUCUUUUUCAUAUGAAGGACUACAUGCAAGAUAUUAUGCCAAGCAAUGAGAAUAAGAUGGAUACAGCAUAGUUCCUGCCUUCAAACAGAUUCUCUAAUGGGGCAAAUGACAGUCCAUAAAUAAGUGCAAUGCAAGGCACCAUGGGCUGGGAGAAAGACCAAACCAAGGUGUCAUAGGAAAAUUUGAGGAGAAAGAUGAUUUCAGCUGGAAAGUGAAAUAAAAGAGUAAACUGAAUGAAACUACUACUUGUUUGAAAUAAAGAGGUAAACUGACUUUGACUUGAGAGAAAGUAUUUCUUACUGAGAUAGAGAAAGGUAAACUGAGGGCAACCUGUUUCUUUGGCAAUGACUGUUGUUCUCUGGCUGGCUGUGACUAGAGAGGGCUGCCUAUAGGAACCUGAGGCUGCUUAUUGUUAAUGGAGGGAUGCCACACACACAGAGAUGCUGGUACACAGAGGAACUACUUAUAAAAGAAUGCCCUGGGGUUUAUCCUGGGAUCUGCCUAUUGAUCCCUACUGAUUGCUGAUGGAUCAAUCUAUGUCCUAACUUCCUUCCUCCCUCACUCCCUCCCUUAGCCAACAUUUUUCACUCAGUUCUUCUUGAAGCCUUUGGCUCCUUCCCUCCCUCCUGAGUGAACUAUAAAGAUACUCUAGUUGCUUCUCAGUCAAGGGGUUUAUUGGGAUAACAGAAUGGGAAACUGAGGUAAGAGG